rnacentral:rRNA from 1 species
UAGAUGCGAGAGUAGAGCAUAUCAAUAAGCGGAGGAAAAGAAACUAACAAGGAUUCCCCUAGUAACGGCGAGUGAAGCGGGAAGAGCUCAAAUUUGAAAUCUUAAAGGGUUUCCCUUUACGAAUUGUAGUUUAAAGAAGUGUUUUCUGUUGGAGUUUCGGUAAAAGUUCUUUGGAAUAGGACAUCAUAGAGGGUGAGAAUCCCGUAUUUGACCGUUACUUUCCAGCUGUGUGAUACACUUUCAAAGAGUCGGAUUGUUUGGGAAUGCAGUCCAAAAUGGGUGGUAAAUUUCAUCUAAAGCUAAAUAUUGGCGAGAGACCGAUAGCGAACAAGUACCGUGAGGGAAAGAUGAAAAGAACUUUGAAAAGAGAGUUAAACAGUACGUGAAAUUGUCAAAAGGGAAGCGUUUGACACCAGUGUUGUUUAGUUGAAAAUCAAUUCAAUAAUUUUUGAUUUUGAAGUAGUAUUGACUUCAUCAGCUUGCUGCUUUCUUUUCAGGAAUUAUUGAAUGCACUUUUCAGUUAACAAGUCAACAUCAAUUUCUUUUGUUGUAAAAGGGUAAGAGGAAGGUGGCUUACGCUUCGGCGUAAGUGUUUAUAGCCUUUUACCUCUGCAAUCGGAGAGAUUGAGGACAGCAGCGUAGACUCCUUCGGGGUUAGAUACACUUGUGCUAAGCUAUAGCCUUGUAUAGACAACUUGUUGACUAUGCUCAGUCAUGUAGCUUACUCGCUUAUGCUAUUUUACCUACGCUUAGGAUGUUGACACACGCGCGUGCUCG